CCCUAGCGCCAAGCCGCACUGCCGACGCUACUGCCGCCAGCGAUGCCGAGCGCCGGCCACCAGGACCGGUACCAAUCGUCAGUGCCCUAGCCUCAGCCCGCGACACCCAUCUCCUCGGGUCGCCACCGCUGGCAGCGGCGUUGCCAGCCGAAGCCCUAGAGUUGAUUCCUCUCUUCCUCGCUUCUCCUGAACGUCGGCAGAUGACCUAUUGCCUCUGCCCUAGCUUGGAUCGCGAGCCCUCCUCUGCGCCCUAGCUCCCUGAUUUGAGGAGUUUCCUCUUCUGCCAUUGCUGAGAGCCGAGAGCCGCCGUCGCACGGAGAGUGCCGGCCAUCCUUCCUCUGCCCUCGAGGCCGAGCCACAUUGUCGAGUUCUCUUUUCCCUUCGUGCCGUCUGCUCUAGUCGCCUUGCACCGUCACCACAGCCGAACCACUUCACCGGCCACCAGGAUUUUGUGCUGUGGAGUGUCUGAUUUCCAGGUGCUAAUCCUCUCCGGCAGUAAAUUGCCUUGGCUGUGAUUGAAGGUUAUUGCUUGGAUUCCAGCAACUACCUCUGUUCCGGCAGCAACGUUACCGGUUGAGGCUUCAGAAUUAGGGUUUUGACACGAGACGAGCAUCUCGACGUCCGAGUUGGACCGGACUGAUCUUAUUUUCCU